rnacentral:rRNA from 1 species
AGUGGAUGGGGAACAACCUAGUUGUGCGUGUGUAAAGGUAGUGCCAAGAAAAGCGGUGAUCAUGAUGAAAAUCAAUUCCCGGUACCCGAAACCGACACAGGUGGGCAAGUAGAGAAUACUAAGGGGCGCGAGGUAACUCUCUCCAAGGAACUCGGCAAAAUGACCCUGUAACUUAGGGGGAAGGGGUGCCACCGAGAGGUGGUCGCAGUGAAGAGGCCCAGGCGACUGUUUAGCAAAAACAUAGGUCUCUGCAAACUCGAAAGAGGAGGUAUAGGGGCUGACGCCUGCCCAGUGCCGGAAGGUUAAAGAAGUUGGUCAGUCUUAGGAUGAAGCUAGCGACUGAAGCCCCGGUGAACGGCGGCCGUAACUAUAACGGUCCUAAGGUAGCGAAAUUCCUUGUCGGGUAGGUUCCGACCCGCACGAAAGGCGUAACGAUCUGGGCGCUGUCUCGGAGAGAGGCUCGGCGAAAUAGGAUUGUCUGUGAAGAUACGGACUACCUGCAUUUGGACAGAAAGACCCUAUGAAGCUUUACUAUAGCUUGGAAUUGUGUUCGGGCUUCCUGUGCGCAGGAUAGGUGGGAGGCGUAGAAGGUAUUCUUGUGGGGAUACUGGAGGCAACGGUGAGAUACCACUCUCAGGAGGCUAGAAUUCUAACUUAAUUAAGGACAGUUUCAGGUGGGUAGUUUGACUGGCGGUCGCCUCCAAAAAGGUAACGGAGGCGUACAAAGGUUCCCUCAGACUGGUUGGAAAUCAGUCGCAGAGUGCAAAGGCAGAAGGGAGCUUGACUGCGAGAAGUACAGUUCGAGCAGGGUGGAAACACGGUCUUAGUGAUCCGACGGUGCUGUGUGGAAGGGCCGUCGCUCAACGGAUAAAAGUUACUCUAAGGAUAACAGGCUGAUCUCCCCCAAGAGUUCACAUCGACGGGGAGGUUUGGCACCUCGAUGUCGGCUCAUCGCAACCUGGGGCGGAAGUACGUCCCAAGGGUUGGCUGUUCGCCCAUUAAAGCGGUACGUGAGCUGGGUUCAGAACGUCGUGAGACAGUUCGGUCCAUAUCCGAUGUAGGCGUGAGAAUAUUGAGAGGAGCCUUCCUUAGUACGAGAGGACCGGGAAGGACGCACCGCUGGUGUACCUGUUAUGAUGCCAAUUGUAAACGCAGGGUAGCCAAGUGCGGAGAGGAUAACCGCUGAAAGCAUCUAAGUGGGAAGCCCACCUCAAGAUGAGUAUUCUGGUGUAAGGUCACGGGAAGACGACCCGUAAAUAGGCACGAGGUGGAAGUGCAGAGAUGUAUGAAGCCGAAGUGUACUAAUAGACCGUCGGCUUGACC